rnacentral:sRNA from 1 species
CCCUAGCCCUGAUUGGAACGAUAUCCUUUUUCUUGCUUCUUUAGCAAGGAAAAGAUAUAGUGGAAAGCAGGAAAUAGC